UCAGGCUGUGGAGUGGCAGAAGUUCAGGGCAGAAUGCAGAGCAGGCUCCCCCAUCACAUCACCUUCCCAGCAAACGAAAGCUGCAAGACUGUGUCUCUCCCACACCUCCUCCCAUCUGUCCCUGGCUCGCUCUCCCACACACUCAGAGAGUGGAGGAGAAGAGCAGAACAGGCCCUGAUCUAUGGCCUUGCAGUCCAGUCCUGCCCAGAAUAUCUGCAGACCAGCUCUCUCACCAGCUAGGAGUAAGUUUUGCCUAAAGGCCCACAAAUCAAUACCAUCCCACACUCUGUGUGGUCUAAGGGUAAGUGACUGUGUCGUGACUCAUGGCAAGGGCACACAUUCUCUAAGAGGGGCCCAGUACCACUGCUGUAACACCUCAGCCAGGGGCUCCCAUCCCCAAAGAACAAGGAAAACCGGUUUCCAAGGCUCUCCUGGGGAUGCCUUGUGGGGCCUUAAGAUUCCACACUUCUGAGUUUGUUCCAGCCCUGUAAGUUAACGUAGUUCUGUUUCUUUUAAUUGUAUUUUGGCUCUCACUCAAACUCUAGAAAGUUGUUGAGGAGCAGGGCAGGGAUGGGGGGUAACCUCGCUGAUAAAGCACCCACUGGACAUGCCUGAGACCAUUCUUGAUUUAGAAAACAUGGCCUUCUCUGUGGAGUCCAGUGCAAGCCAGCCACCCCGUUUCAGAGUCAUCACUGGCAUCUGAAACAUGGAGCAGAAGACUUGUGCUCACAUAACUCGCAGAAACACUUGUGGGCUCUCUGGCCACAAAAUGGGCAGGGGCAGAAGUCCUUCCCAUAUGAGAGAUGAGGAGGUGAGUGUGGAAGGCAGAGGUGGCCCUUCCAAAGUCCAUUAGGACAGCGGGGCUGAAAAUGUGUUGUCAGUGUCACCCCUGCAGUAGGAGCUGGGAUGAGGGUUGUCCUCAUCUUAACCCAGCCCAAAGCUCAACCUGCUUUCAAAGUUCGCUUUCUUGCUGACCAGAGCAGGUCACUAAAGGAUCCAACCCACUCCACAGAUGAAGAACAGAAUUCACUACUAUAGAGCGCCCUAGCUAGACAGGGGACAGCAGAUUAUUUUUGUUUCACUCUAAUAUACAGAAGGCUGUAAUGAUUGACAUCUGGACAGAGGACCACGGCAACACUGAGACUCCAGAGGCCCUGCCUCCUGGGGAAGCACCAGGCUCCGAGCUCCCAUCCUUCUGCUCCUACCCUGGAUUGUUUUCUGGGGUUUCUCCCGCUCACCUGAUGCUCAGAUAGCAAAGGAUGAACUUCUGGGAUGGCCGUGGCUGCUGAGGAAGCAGGGCCUGGAUCUUGCCCCAGCUUGCAAAGCCACUGGUGUGUAGCAGAGUUGGGAACUGCCUAGGAGACAAAGCCCGGAGUGAGUGUCUAUGAAGGCACCUUCAGAGAGGUUCACUGAGGAGGGAAGGCCCAUCCUGAAUGAGGGCUACACCAUCCUAUGAUCUACAUCAGUGGUUCUCAUCCGUCGUAAUGCUGCGACCCUUUCAUACGGUUCCUCACGGUGUGAUGACAUCCCCCCACCAACCAUACCAUUACUUUCAUUGCUACUGUUAUGAAUCCUAAUGUGAAUAUCUAUGUAAUCCUAAUGGUCUUAGGUGUCCCCCUGUGAAAGAGUUGUUUGAACACCCCCACCCCUGCCCCUGACUGAGAACCACUGACUUAGAUGGAGGCCCAGAGUGAAUGAAAAGACAAAUAGGAGCCAAGUAGCAGUAUGCAUCUCCAUGCUUCCUGACUCCCCACAGCUAUGGGACUGGGUCCCCUCAAACCCUGAGCCAGAAUAAACCCUUCCUUCUAGAAACUCCUCUUGCCAGGUGUCUUGUCACAACAAGGUGGGACUAACAUACAUCUCCACUGAGGAACAGCUUGCUCAGCACACACUUCACGUGUCCACCUAUGGAGCCCAGUUGUCAGAGGUCCUCAUGGUCAUCACCACCAUAUGCUUUAGAACAUGUUUGUCUCCCUCCUAAGAAAUGUCAUACCUGGGUCAGAAAGAUGCCUUGAUGAUGAUAAUGAUGCUUGGCCUAUCAAGCCUGAGACCUGAGUUCAGUCCCACCAGGACUUACAUGGGGGAGAGAGAAUCGACUCUCACAAGUUCUCACAAGUUGUCCUGACCUCUGUAUGUAUGACAACAGUAUGUUUCACACACGCGCACACACACACACACACACACACACACACACACACACACCAAAUGAAAUCUUACGACCAAUUUCCCUCCGACCACCAUCCCAGGUAACCAUGCAUGCCCAUACUCUCUCUAUGGAGCACCUUGCUCUGAAGAUUUCAUGGAAGCGGGAUGACACAGCCUGCCAUCUCCUAUGAUUGCUUCCUUUUCUUCGCAUUGCUUUUAGCAGUGGACAAGGGUUCCGUUGUCCCCACAUCCACCCCUAUACUGCAUCUGCCUGACAUUCUCAGGGUCUUGGUGGGUAUGGCAGGGCCCUUUAUGGUGGUCUCAGAUUACAUGCCUCUCAUGACAGGUGAUUCUGGGAGGUCACGUGCUCAUGGUCCUUUUAUGAAUUCUUUAAGAAAUGGCUAACAUUGAUUAUCAACUUGAUGGGAUCUAGAAUCACCUAGAAAACAAAGGGAAGACCCACCCUAAAUGUGGGGCCACCAUUCCGUAGGCUAGGAUUUUGGACUGAAUAAGAGGGAGAGAGUAAGCUGAGCACCAGGAUGUCCCCAUCCCUUCCUGACUGUGUAGCAGUGUGACCAGACACCUCAGGCUCCUGGCGCCAUCCUUUCUUCUUUUCUCCUUUUGUGAGAGCAAUGAGAAAAGUACCAACAGAAGUACCUUGCCCGAUGUUUUCUGUGAGAGUCUUUUGCUACUGCGCUGUAAGAGCUCUUUGCACAUUCCAGAUAUAAGUCUAGAAUGAUCUUGCCUGCAGUCUGGCUCUUCUCUUCUCCCGCCUCUUUUCAAGUUCUUCCCAGUGUCCUUUGAAAGGCAACUGCAUUAUCUUGCGAUGUUUGUUCUUUCUGAAUCAUAUCUAAGAAGUCAUGGUCUAACUCAAGGUCAAGACUUGCUCAUUUAGCUCCUAGGAGUGUUCUAGUUUUAGCCACUAUAUGUAGGUUUUUGGUAUAUUUUGAGUUAAUUCUUUUAUACAGGAUGAAAUGGGAGUCCAACCUUAUUCUUUUCUUUUCUUUGAACUUUGAACUUCUGAUUCUCCUGCCUCUACCUCCCAAAUGCUGACAUUGCAGGGAUACAUCAUCAAGACAGGUAUGUGACGGGCUGAGGUUUGAACCCAGAGCCUUGUGCAUGCUAGGCACUCACUCUACCAACUGAGCCAUAUCCCAAAGCCCGUUUUUUUCCUUUUUGAAGGAUGGCAGUCAGACACUGUAGGCCAGGCUGGCCUAGAAGUCAUGGCAAACCUCCUGUCUCAGCCUCCUGAGCAGCAGAAGUAUAGACAUGAGUCACCAUGCCUGGCUUGUUACUACUUUUAUAGUAGUGGAAAACCAUGAUAAAAUUUCUUUUUUAAGAUUUGCAUUCCAAUCCGACACAGUAAUAAUGGGAAGAAAUUCAGGAACAUCCACUGCCAUGGUCAGCUGCGUCAUAGGAGCCAAGAAAAUUCCUAGGCGCAGUAACAGCAAAAUGCAAAGGAAAGACGCACACAGAACAGCAGCAGAGAGCGACCAGGCACCCAGGUAGCUGCUGUCAUCAGGAGUGUAUCAGUGAUGACACAGAUUCUUUCAUUUGCCUGGAAUUUGGAUAGGCCUUUCAUGUACCUCUGCGGCCCAGCUGCUGGGAACUUCACAGAGAGUUUCUGGCAAAGAAGCCGGACUACUAGACCAAACAGGCGUGAGCCACAUCUCGCCACACACAUCCGGAUUUCCUGGGAGGUGGCCAAAAUCCAGAUUGCUUUAAAAAGAAACCCAAUGUUGCUGCUUAGAGUGUACAAAAUUGCUGGAUACUAGUCUGCCUCGCUGGCUCUUAAUCCGUAGCCUUCCCCUUCCCAACCCCGGCACCAGCUAGACUUACAACAGACAUCUCAAAACUGGAUCAAAGCAGGAAGGAACACACACUUGGGUGACUGGCCAGGACACCCCUAAGCUGGACUCUGAGGUGGCCCUGCCCCUGUCCCUCCUUCCCCAUCCCUAGGACCAUAGUUUUAAUGUUUGAAGCAGACUGCUACACUGAGCCUUGUGUGAAUCAACCGAGAGGCAUCGAUGCGGAACCUAGGGACUAAAUAUUAAGCUGAUGUGACAAUGUACCUAAUGAUAUCCAAUACCACAGAGGAGGCCUGGGGCAAGGGUUCCCAUACCACCUCCUGUCCCCAGGGAAGAAUAAAAAGCCAGAUGACAUGGAGGAGACAGAGAUGCAUUUUUACCUAAGAAGAUAGGGGCUAGCAGAAAGUUCCAGAAAGUCUGAGGGGGGUGGGGGGCUGAAAGCAGAGCUUUCACUGGGGAUGACAACUCCCCACUCUUCCAAAUCAGAUCCCGGAAGCCCAGGGCAAUGGAAGGCACUUCAAAAGAAGGGUUGGUAGAUCAGUGGACAUUGAGGCUUUGUCAUUUUGGUUGUGAGUCCAGCCUUUAACUGCAGAGCCAUCUCUCCAGGCUCGGCAUAGUUUUUAAACUGUGUCUCCUCCUCCCUGCCACCAUUUGCACAGUACUGUGGUUCAUACUUGGGACCCAAUGUUACGACAGUAAUGUUAUGGGGACCACUGUGAAGUAAAGGGAAGGAUAUUUCACUCAUGAAAUCCUUGUGACUCACCAGCGCAGGAAAAAACCUUUUCUAUC